GAUGAACGCUGACAGAAUGCUUAACACAUGCAAGUCAACUUGAACUUCGGUUUGGGUGGCGGACGGGUGAGUAACGCGUAAAGAACUUGCCUCACAGAUAGGGACAACAUUUGGAAACGAAUGCUAAUACCUGAUAUUAUGAUUAUAUGGCAUCGUAUAAUUAUGAAAGCUAUAUGCGCUGUGAGAGAGCUUUGCGUCCCAUUAGCUAGUUGGAGGGGUAACGGCUCACCAAGGCGAUGAUGGGUAGCCGGCCUGAGAGGGUGAUCGGCCACAAGGGGACUGAGACACGGCCCUUACUCCUACGGGAGGCAGCAGUGGGGAAUAUCGGACAAUGGACCAAGAGUCUGAUCCAGCAAUUCUGUGUGCACGAUGAAGUUUUUCGGAAUGUAAAGUGCUUUCAGUUGGGAAGAAAAAAAUGACGGUACCAACAGAAGAAGUGACGGCUAAAUACGUG
rnacentral:rRNA from 1 species